GUUGGCUUGGAGCAGCGUAGUGCACGCCUCCUCCCUGCAUGGAAGCUGUGGAGCAUCUUUCCGUGUCAGACUAUGCACUGGAGAGGAAACAGUGACAUGAGGCCCAGAGCCGCCACUGAGCAAGACAACAGUGAGGUACAAUCUUCUGCGUGACACUGGCCAUCACCAUGGUAACAACCUGAUUGCAGCUGGCUCACUGUUGCCCUGGACCCAGACUGAGAAGCAUCAGAGAAGAGGACAUGGAGGAGAAGGCAGCAUGGAAGGGUCCCUGGGCAAGGGCUUUGUGUAUGAGAAGAAGCAGGCAGAAGACCUGAAUGAACAAGUACCUUCGUGCUGUCUAUGUUUGCGUGUCUAGUCUGCCGAUCUACACACGCGCCUGGAAAGCAGCUCUGGAUGGAUCCCACCCGCCUUACCCUCCCCCUCUUCCCUUUCUCAGCCAGUGGCACUGCUGGCCCACCUCGCUGCUCCACCCAGGGCCCCGGCAUCCACUCCUACCUUGCUGAGCCUGUCACCAUCCCUCUCCCCCAGGUUUCUGCAGCUUCCCGGGCUGCAUUUCUUCCUGUACCUCUGUGUAGCUCCCUUUCAUUUCACCCCAAGACCCUCCCCGAGCUUCUUCAGCCUCUCUUGAGCUUCUCUGGAACAUGGUCUUCAAGCUCCUUCAACGCUCACGACCUUUCUGCCCUUUGGCUCAGAAUGCUCCCUCUGCCCCUUCAUGUGGCUGGCCAUCAUCUUGGAAUCCUCAGCUGACAUGCUACUUCAGAGGGACUUUCUCCAUCAACUGCCCUCUUCCAGGCUGAGUCCCUGGGUUCAUUUCUGACAUAACAGCCCAUUUGUUCUUCAAAACAUUUACUGUAAUAGGCAAUAUGAGAUAUUUUCUUUAUUGUUCAUGAUAAAAAAUUUCUGCCUAGAAUCUUGUACCUACAAGAGCAGGCAUUUUGUCUUGAUUAUUAUUGAUUAUUGGCAUCCAUAGCUGCUGUCUAAAUACUAGUUUAAUAAAUGAGUGACCUCCUGUGAUUGCUGCAAACAUCUGGACCCAGAGUCAACAUAACAUGAAAACAAUCUGCUGGCACAAGACUGGUAUUCAGUGAGUAAUGGGAAAAGAUGGGUGGGCACAGGCAGCAGGGUUACAGCGUGCUCUGUUUUCCUUCCCCUGGGAAGUGGC
ensembl:lncRNA